GCUAAUACCGCAUAAUGCCUACGGGCCAAAGAGGGGGACCUUCGGGCCUCUCGCGUCAAGAUAUGCCUAGGUGGGAUUAGCUAGUUGGUGAGGUAAUGGCUCACCAAGGCGACGAUCCCUAGCUGGUCUGAGAGGAUGAUCAGCCACACUGGAACUGAGACACGGUCCAGACUCCUACGGGAGGCAGCAGUGGGGAAUAUUGCACAAUGGGCGCAAGCCUGAUGCAGCCAUGCCGCGUGUAUGAAGAAGGCCUUCGGGUUGUAAAGUACUUUCAGCAGUGAGGAAGGGGGUGUCGUUAAUAGCGGCAUUUCUUGACGUUAGCUGCAGAAGAAGCACCGGCUAACUCCGUGCCAGCAGCCGCGGUAAUACGGAGGGUGCGAGCGUUAAUCGGAAUUACUGGGCGUAAAGCGCAUGCAGGUGGUUUGUUAAGUCAGAUGUGAAAGCCCGGGGCUCAACCUCGGAACUGCAUUUGAAACUGGCAAACUAGAGUACUGUAGAGGGGGGUAGAAUUUCAGGUGUAGCGGUGAAAUGCGUAGAGAUCUGAAGGAAUACCAGUGGCGAAGGCGGCCCCCUGGA
rnacentral:rRNA from 1 species